rnacentral:rRNA from 1 species
UACGGGGGGGGCAAGCGUUGUUCGGAAUUACUGGGCGUAAAGGGCUCGUAGGCGGCCAACUAAGUCGGACGUGAAAUCCCUCGGCUUAACCGGGGAACUGCGUCUGAUACUGGUUGGCUUGAAUUCGGGAGAGGGAUGCAGAAUUCCAGGUGUAGCGGUGAAAUGCGUAGAUAUCUGGAGGAAUACCGGUGGCGAAGGCGGCAUCCUGGACCGAGAUUGACACUGAUGAGCGAAAGCCAGGGGAGCAAACGGG